ACGAUCUCUUCGGAGAUAGUGGCAGACGGGUGAGUAACGCGUGGGAAUAUACCUUUCGGUACGGAACAACAGUUGGAAACGACUGCUAAUACCGUAUACGCCCUAUGGGGGAAAGAUUUAUCGCCGAGGGAUUAGCCCGCGUUAGAUUAGCUAGUUGGUGAGGUAAUGGCUCACCAAGGCGACGAUCUAUAGCUGGUCUGAGAGGAUGAUCAGCCACACUGGGACUGAGACACGGCCCAGACUCCUACGGGAGGCAGCAGUGGGGAAUAUUGGACAAUGGGGGCAACCCUGAUCCAGCCAUGCCGCGUGAGUGAUGAAGGCCCUAGGGUUGUAAAGCUCUUUCAGCGAGGAGGAUAAUGACGUUACUCGCAGAAGAAGCCCCGGCUAACUUCGUGCCAGCAGCCGCGGUAAUACGAAGGGGGCUAGCGUUGUUCGGAAUCACUGGGCGUAAAGCGCACGUAGGCGGACUUUUAAGUCAGGGGUGAAAUCCCAGAGCUCAACUCUGGAACUGCCUUUGAUACUGGAAGUCUUGAGUCCGAGAGAGGUGAGUGGAACUCCGAGUGUAGAGGUGAAAUUCGUAGAUAUUCGGAAGAACACCAGUGGCGAAGGCGGCUCACUGGCUCG
rnacentral:rRNA from 1 species